AACGGCACCCAUGCGUUUAACGCUGCAUGGACAGCACAACAACUGUGGAAAUAGGUCCCCUUUGAAUGGAACCGUAUGACCCUUCGCAUACUCGUGAUGCGGAAUCAACGCAUGUAUAAUAGAAGUGGGCGAACAACCGUGAUGAUAGGCUCGUUGGAAUCGAACCAUACCACCCUUCGUAUGAGUUAACAUACGGAACCUGCGC
rnacentral:lncRNA from 1 species